GCAUGUAAGGUACUUGAAUAUAUACAUAUAAAAAUCACUUUUAAAAAAGUGUUUGGGAACAGGGUCCUGCAGGACAAGAGUCGAGAGUUAAAAUCGCAUCCUCACCCCCAAAUCCCUCGGGGGGGCCCUUUUCUCCCCAUCCAUGCGGGGGAUAAUUCUUCACAUUCAAGCGCCCUUUUCUCCCCAUCCAUGCGGGGGAUAAUUCUUCACAUUCAAGCCCCAAACAAGGUAGUUCCUACAAAUAUACAAAUUGAAUAGAGUGGCAAAGCGGGUGGCCCACCCCGUUUAAGCCCAUCCAAAAGUGGGGCAGGACUGCCCAACUUAGGUGUCCAAGCUCAAAAUUGAAUAGGGUGGAAUUCUUCGCAUUCACCUUUUUUUUUUGUUGACCAUUGCCUCUUGUUCACUCAAGCCAGCCAGGCUCAUCU
rnacentral:lncRNA from 1 species